AGCGAACGCUGGCGGCAGGCCUAACACAUGCAAGUCGAACGAACCUUUCGGGGUUAGUGGCGGACGGGUGAGUAACACGUGGGAACGUGCCUUUAGGUUCGGAAUAACUCAGGGAAACUUGUGCUAAUACCGAAUGUGCCCUUCGGGGGAAAGAUUAAUCGCCUUUAGAGCGGCCCGCGUCUGAUUAGCUAGUUGGUUGAGGUAAUGGCUCACCAAGGCGACGAUCAGUAGCUGGUCUGAGAGGAUGAUCAGCCACAUUGGGACUGAGAAACGGCCCAAACUCCUACGGGAGGCAGCAGUGGGGAAUCUUGCGCAAUGGGCGAAAGCCUGACGCAGCCAUGCCGCGUGAAUGAUGAAGGUCUUAGGAUUGUAAAAUUCUUUCACCGGGGACGAUAAUGACGGUACCCGGAGAAGAAGCCCCGGCUAACUUCGUG
rnacentral:rRNA from 1 species